rnacentral:lncRNA from 1 species
UGAAAUAUGGUUUGCUUGAUAAUUUGAAUUUCGGCAGAUCUAACCGGCAUAUAGCUUUUCCGACGACCUGAAGUUUUCCGGUUAAACCAUUUCGGGCCGGAAAUUAUUUCUCCACUGAACAUGUGUUUGUUUGUGUAUUGUUGUUACUAUGAACUAGUUAUGAUGGAGAUUAUGAAGAGCUUUGAAGGCAUGUGGUGGAGAUAUAUAGUUCGGUGGCUAGUCACUAAAAUUAUUUUUGGGCCAUAAAAUGUAUAUUGAAAUUCUGGACUAUCGGAUGCUAUUUGUUUUGCUCCAUAGGCUAUAAAUGAAAUUCUCUCUAGAAAAUGUCCAACCAGAUGUCCCCUGAAGUUCGACAUCGUAUUUUACGGUUCGAAUUUUGAUUUCUUGACUACUGAGUUGUAUCAUAAGAUCAUUUGCACAAUAUUGUGGAACAAAAUUAAGAAAAGAAUGAAAUAAAAUGCAAAUAGCAUUUGAACUAUGAGAAGAAAAGAAAAAAG